GACGAACGCUGGCGGCGUGCUUAACACAUGCAAGUCGAACGGAAAGGCCCUGCUUUUGUGGGGUGCUCGAGUGGCGAACGGGUGAGUAACACGUGAGUAACCUGCCCUUGACUUUGGGAUAACUUCAGGAAACUGGGGCUAAUACCGGAUAGGAGCUCCUGCUGCAUGGUGGGGGUUGGAAAGUUUCGGCGGUUGGGGAUGGACUCGCGGCUUAUCAGCUUGUUGGUGGGGUAGUGGCUUACCAAGGCUUUGACGGGUAGCCGGCCUGAGAGGGUGACCGGCCACAUUGGGACUGAGAUACGGCCCAGACUCCUACGGGAGGCAGCAGUGGGGAAUAUUGCACAAUGGGCGGAAGCCUGAUGCAGCAACGCCGCGUGCGGGAUGACGGCCUUCGGGUUGUAAACCGCUUUCGCCUGUGACGAAGCGUGAGUGACGGUAAUGGGUAAAGAAGCACCGGCUAACUACGUGCCAGCAGCCGCGGUGAUACGUAGGGUGCGAGCGUUGUCCGGAUUUAUUGGGCGUAAAGGGCUCGUAGGUGGUUGAUCGCGUCGGAAGUGUAAUCUUGGGGCUUAACCCUGAGCGUGCUUUCGAUACGGGUUGACUUGAGGAAGGUAGGGGAGAAUGGAAUUCCUGGUGGAGCGGUGGAAUGCGCAGAUAUCAGGAGGAACACCAGUGGCGAAGGCGGUUCUCUGGGCCUUUCCUGACGCUGAGGAGCGAAAGCGUGGGGAGCGAACAGGCUUAGAUACCCUGGUAAUCCACGCUGUAAACGGUGGGUACUAGGUGUGGGGUCCAUUCCACGGGUUCCGUGCCGUAGCUAACGCUUUAAGUACCCCGCCUGGGGAGUACGGCCGCAAGGCUAAAACUCAAAGGAAUUGACGGGGCCCCGCACAAGCGGCGGAGCAUGCGGAUUAAUUCGAUGCAACGCGUAGAACCUUACCUGGGUUUGACAUGGAUCGGGAGCGCUCAGAGAUGGGUGUGCCUCUUUUGGGGUCGGUUCACAGGUGGUGCAUGGCUGUCGUCAGCUCGUGUCGUGAGAUGUUGGGUUAAGUCCCGCAACGAGCGCAACCCUUGUUCACUGUUGCCAGCACGUUAUGGUGGGGACUCAGUGGAGACCGCCGGGGUCAACUCGGAGGAAGGUGGGGAUGACGUCAAGUCAUCAUGCCCCUUAUGUCCAGGGCUUCACGCAUGCUACAAUGGCUGGUACAGAGAGUGGCGAGCCUGUGAGGGUGAGCGAAUCUCGGAAAGCCGGUCUCAGUUCGGAUUGGGGUCUGCAACUCGACCUCAUGAAGUCGGAGUCGCUAGUAAUCGCAGAUCAGCAACGCUGCGGUGAAUACGUUCCCGGG
rnacentral:rRNA from 1 species